rnacentral:lncRNA from 1 species
UGAAAACAUUGGUUGCUAUUUAAAUUCUAUAUCCUAACUUAAAUUCACAAAAUCAUUUCCAUGUAAAGAUUACUUUUCAACCUAUGGUUAUAUAAAUUGAAGUAGAAUGGAAAAACAUGCCGAUAAUUCGAUAGUGUGAAUAUAGGGGGGGAAAUCACAAACAUUGUCUAGAUUUUUGUGGCGUAAAGCUUUAGAGUUCCGAGUUUUGUUAAGAUCCAAGGUCUGGUGUUAUGUCAUUUCAACAGGCUUUCACAUUUGAAGGUUUUGUCUUAUUUCAGCUCAUUUCGAUAUUAUUGAAUUAUUUUAGAAUAUAUUCGUCACAUGUAGCUUUAUUUU